rnacentral:rRNA from 1 species
GAUGAACGCUGGCGGCGUGCCUAAUACAUGCAAGUCGAGCGAACGGACGAGAAGCUUGCUUCUCUGAUGUUAGCGGCGGACGGGUGAGUAACACGUGGAUAACCUACCUAUAAGACUGGGAUAACUUCGGGAAACCGGAUCUAAUACCGGAUAAUAUUUUGAACCGCAUGGUUCAAAAGUGAAUGACGGUCUUGCUGGCACUUAUAGAUGGAUCCGCGCUGCAUUAGCUAGUUGGUAAGGUAACGGCUUACCAAGGCAACGAUGCAUAGCCGACCUGAGAGGGUGAUCGGCCACACUGGAACUGAGACACGGUCCAGACUCCUACGGGAGGCAGCAGUAGGGAAUCUUCGGCAAUGGGCGAAAGCCUGACGGAGCAACGCCGCGUGAGUGAUGAAGGUCUUCGGAUCGUAAAACUCUGUUAUUAGGGAAGAACAUAUGUGUAAGUAACUGUGCACAUCUUGACGGUACCUAAUCAGAAAGCCACGGCUAACUACGUG